UGUUUAUAGCACCCCAGAUCCACGCUGGUGUGACACGCUUCCAGAUCGAUAUGUCAAAGUACCCUAUCUUGGCAAGGCUUCAAGCAGCUUACAAUGAGCAUCCUGCAUUUCAAGCCGCACUUCCCAAAAAUCAACCAGAUGCACCUCCAUCACAGUAAUCAGGACUUCGAUCGAGCUACGUACGACCGAUCGAGAAAUAAUUCUAGUAACAGCUUGCAAGUGUUUUCAGUGUAUGUCAAGAUUCUACGCUGUACUAGCAGUACACCGCAUGUAACUUCAGAAUUAGGUGCCCAGUGUAAGCAAAGUAGUAUGGAGGACUGACAAUGGAUGAGCUUGACGCGUUGCUGUAAAAGUAAAUAAAUGCAAUUUCGUUUUUUGAACUUAAUAAAUGUAAUUAGUGAUAUG